rnacentral:rRNA from 1 species
UACGUAGGGGGCUAGCGUUAUCCGGAAUUACUGGGCGUAAAGGGUGCGUAGGUGGUUUCUUAAGUCAGAGGUGAGAGGCUACGGCUCAACCGUAGUAAGCCUUUGAAACUGGGAAACUUGAGUGCAGGAGAGGAGAGUGGAAUUCCUAGUGUAGCGGUGAAGUGCGUAGAUAUUAGGAGGAACACCAGUUGCGAAGGCGGCUCUCUGGACUGUAACUGACACUGAGGCACGAAAGCGUGGGGAGCAAACAGGAUUAGAUACCCCGGUAGUCCCUGAGCGGG